rnacentral:rRNA from 1 species
UACGAAGGGGGCUAGCGUUGUUCGGAAUCACUGGGCGUAAAGCGCACGUAGGCGGAUGUGCCAGUCAGGGGUGAAAUCCCGGAGCUCAACUCCGGAACUGCCUCUGAUACAGCACGUCUUUGAGUUCGAGAGAGGUGGGUGGAAUUCCUAGUGUAGAGGUGAAAUUCGUAGAUAUUAGGAAGAACACCGGUGGCGAAGGCGGCCCACUGGCUCGAUACUGACGCUGAGGUGCGAAAGCGUGGGGAGCAAACAGGGAUUAAGAUACCCUG